GGUUUAUUGAAACUCAUGGAAUUAUUUAGAAGCUUAAAAAUGUUAGCAACAUUACAGGGUUAUUUAUAGGGGAUCUAGGUUGUUUUUUAAAAAAAUAUUUAAGUCAUGAAUCCUAGAAUGUAUUAACAAUGUAAAGUGAGGUAUGACUGUACUUAGGUCAUAAGUUGUGAAGCCAGUUUCAAAAUUCUCAAACUGCAUCCCAGAGAUAAAGUGAUAGAAGACUGAGGGUUAUUAGGACAGUGGAUGACUGAUAUCUUUGAUUAUUGGCUCAGAGGAAAUAGGGGUGCUAAACCAGCACAUGAUCUGCCCUUGCUGUGGAUACAGAAAAGUGAUGCUACCACCACUUUAUGCAGAAAUCUUCAUGAAGGAAAUAUAUAUGCUAGGCAACCAGCAAUCUGCAUGCUCCUUACCCUCUUGUCAUAGGAGUGAACAUUUAAAAUUGGUAAGAUAUGUCAAUUGAACUGAAACCCAUUGAAGGUCUGUAUUCUUUACAGAUGACUCCAGGGGCCUUACUCUUGAAUAUUUCGAGUUGCCAAAUGAGACGUAUUGAAGGUAUCACGUGGUGCAAACACAUUACACAAACAGAAUACUGUACUCUUGACACUCAACACGCAUCUCACGGCUACUCCUUAACGUGUUGGCAACAGUGUACUAUAGAAUAGCCGAGAUAGCUACACCUGACCCGUUUUAAUUAUUUUUACUAUCAAAUAUUAAAAAAUGUUUUUGAGAAUGAAAAUUUGCAAAUAAGUAAAUCCAUAUCCAAUUUGUACAAAUAAAAUUUUUAUUUUUCAUAGUUAUUAAAUUUGGUGCUAAGGUAAAAUAAUAACAUGCAUUUUUAUAUUAUCAUCAAAUUAUAAAAAGAUGUAAGGGGC
rnacentral:lncRNA from 1 species